rnacentral:rRNA from 1 species
UCCGGUAACCAUAGAGAAGGUGUUCCACCUGUUCCCAUCCCGAACACAGAAGUUAAGCCCUUCAUCGCCGAUGGUACUGCAGCGUUAGUUGUGGGAGAGUAGGUCAUUGCCGGGA